rnacentral:sRNA from 1 species
GUUUUUGGUUUCUUAAGAGUUUUUCCAUUUAUAUCUGAGGAGGAGAUGUGAUCAUCACAUGGGAUAGUAUAAUUUAUACAGACCUUUUACAAAACGAAUUUCAAUUGUAAAAUGUCCUUGUUAUAAUGGGUUAAUCAUCCUGUUGUGUUUAUAUAGCCUUCUUACCAUAUACCCUACACUGUUAUUAAUCUUAGUUAUGUCUCCAAGCCAUGGUCUAGUGUUCUCCAGUGGGAAUUCUCACAAGAUGAUGCUGUCUAACUCCACACUGUAUCAUGAAAUACUAGAUACAUAGGUUGAACAAGCUCCCUGAGCUAUGUACAGGCUGUUGCUUCUGUAGUCACAUCCAUUUUCAUAGCCACCCUCACUUUAUUCAUAUUAAGAAAUUUUCUAUUUUCUUCAACUCUCAUGGUGAAACUCUUUUCAUCCUAUGUUUUCUUGUUCAGCAUUUUGAAGAACCAUUGUCAAGUUUAUUUCAGCAUCAGCAUGUCUCCCUCAUGAGAAAAUAUACAUGACUAUUUUUGACAGACACUGGACCUGUCUUCCUGUAGUGAUUCUUUCUGAGUCUCUGGGCUUUAAGAUGAAUUGCCCCUGUGCAUCAGAUGUUAGAUAUUUCUUGAACAGCUGAGGUCUGAACUCUAGGUCUUACCGAAAGGUUGCCACAGCAUUUCCCAUUGGCCAGUAUAGGUAAAUGGACCUGGAAGCAGAGCUGUUGUCUGUCCUGAAUAUGUCCACUUCAUCACCAAGCCACAGCCUCUUUUGAGUAUCACGGGGCCUUGGCAAACCACGUGUUGCUGUACUCCUCCCACCUCUUCUGACUCAAUAGUUUCCAUGUUGAAAAAAAUGAAUUCUCCUGAUAAAGAUCGCCACCUAGAAGAACAAAUAUUCAGUGGGAAAAUGAAUUUAUCUUGUCAUAGAGGAGUGAAAUUGUGUGAUUUGGACAAGUGAAAGGACUUACAUGAAUAGUCUUAAAGAGAAAUAUCAAGACAUAAAAUGUUGAAAUUUAAAGGGGUACUUUGGAAUAACAUUUUUUUCUGAGAAAGCAAAUGGAAGACCCAGAACAAAGUUCAAUUCUGUGGAAAGGAAAAUACAUUUAAGUCUAUUCAAAGAGCAGUUGGUUACAAUUGAUUUGUUAGUGUCACUCAUUGCACCUAUACUGAUAUCCUACCAUACUAGUUAUUGUCAUAUUUCAUAGGUGUUCAAGGUGGGUACAACUAUCAGUUGCUUUCCUAACAUGCCAACCUACAUACUGUUUUACCUACCUUAGAAACUUGACUUAAAGAUAGAGGUUUCUAGACAUAUCCAUCUAGAAUCAGUUGCCUGCUGAGACAUCCCUGUAAGUUUUAUUUGGCAACAGGCACUCAAGCCCCGAAACUUGACAGGAAUCCAAGUGCUAACGAAAGCAUCAUAUUUUGGGAAAAAUCACUUGAAAUAUUGAACAAUUGGAAGAAUUUCUCUCAAAAUGAUUGAAAUCAUGGCUAGUACAAAAAAAUCUAGUCAGAUUUAAGGAGCUAUUGAGGUCAUAAACCUUAAUAUUUAUCACAUAAAUUUACUAAGUCAUCAAGUUCCUU